UAUAUAUAUCAAACAAAAUAUUAAAUUCUAAUAGUUUCAUGGACUUAAAUAAAUGGUUUUGAAGUAAAUUUAUUUAAUUAAUUAUCCGAUCAAAUUCUUAUCACAAAAAAAAAAAAAAAAAUUGUGUUACAAAAAAUUAAUUUAAAUUUUACCCAGCUUAUCUACUAACAAUUUAAACAUAAGAAAAUUAGGGCAUAAUAAUUAUGUACUCUCUUAAACAUAUUGUAGCUCCAUUUUGGCAUAUAUGAUCUUCAUCUCAUUUGACUCAUCCUCUGCUUCCACGAAGUAGGCUUGAUUGACUGAUCAAAUUACCCAAAAAAAAAAUUCGAAUCAUAAAUAAACAUGAUUAACUUUCGUACCCUUGUCUUCAAAGAAGUAGACAUGAGAGCAAACCUACAUUCAGAAAAGCGAAAUUAUUUAAAAAAAAAUUAUGAUUGAUUUGGGGUUAGUAUUAUUAUAAUUAUUACUAUUAAUAAUAAUAUUUAAUUAUAAUAAAAAAUACCGUUUAUUUGGAAGUGUUAUGGCCGAGGGUUAGUACCUAGUAGCAAGCCAGUGGGACCUCAGUAAUAAUGGAGUCCAUUCAUUGAUUAAAAUAGAGAGAUGGAAAGUAGAAACACACAGUUCACAGACAAGACAGAAAUACCACUAGUAGUGAACUGAAGUUACCACACGAACGAAAAAAAAUACCAGACGGUGCAUGUGAGCGCGAGACGAUCAAAAGUUUUUUAUGACGGAUACUGAAGGGAAUGCUGAAUCACUGAUGUGAUGAAUUUACAUUUAUAAUGCAGUGCUGUGUUGGUGGGGUCUUGAUGAUCAGUUUUGAGUUUCAAGGGACCCAUACGGAGUGUCGUUUCGGUGGGAGGCGCGCGAGAACAGCGCGGGAGCUGUUUCCCGAUGCACAAGAGACUGCCAGUCCCCGCACCCGCACCCACUCCCACUCACUGCAGCUUUUCUUCUUUCUUAACUUCUUUUCUUUUCGCUCGCGAUUUUCCAUAUAGC
rnacentral:lncRNA from 1 species